AUGCAGUCGAGGGGUAUAGUUCUUCGGAAUUAGAGACCGGCGCACGGGUGCGUAACGCGUAUGCAAUCUACCUUUUGCAGAGGGAUAGCCCAGAGAAAUUUGGAUUAAUACCUCAUAGUAUAGCACAACCGCAUGGUUGAGUUAUUAAAGUCACAACGGCAAAAGAUGAGCAUGCGUCCCAUUAGCUAGUUGGUAAGGUAACGGCUUACCAAGGCAACGAUGGGUAGGGGUCCUGAGAGGGAGAUCCCCCACACUGGUACUGAGACACGGACCAGACUCCUACGGGAGGCAGCAGUGAGGAAUAUUGGUCAAUGGGCGCAAGCCUGAACCAGCCAUGCCGCGUGCAGGAUGACGGUCCUAUGGAUUGUAAACUGCUUUUGUACGAGAAGAAACACUACUUCGUGAAGUAGCUUGACGGUAUCGUAAGAAUAAGGAUCGGCUAACUCCGUGCCAGCAGCCGCGGUAAUACGGAGGAUCCAAGCGUUAUCCGGAAUCAUUGGGUUUAAAGGGUCCGUAGGCGGUCUUAUAAGUCAG
rnacentral:rRNA from 1 species